rnacentral:rRNA from 1 species
CUGAUUGAUGGUGCUUGCACCUGAUUGACGAUGGAUUACCAGUGAGUGGCGGACGGGUGAGUAACACGUAGGUAACCUGCCCCGGAGCGGGGGAUAACAUUUGGAAACAGAUGCUAAUACCGCAUAACAACAAAAGCCACAUGGCUUUUGUUUGAAAGAUGGCUUUGGCUAUCACUCUGGGAUGGACCUGCGGUGCAUUAGCUAGUUGGUAAGGUAACGGCUUACCAAGGCGAUGAUGCAUAGCCGAGUUGAGAGACUGAUCGGCCACAAUGGAACUGAGACACGGUCCAUACUCCUACGGGAGGCAGCAGUAGGGAAUCUUCCACAAUGGGCGCAAGCCUGAUGGAGCAACACCGCGUGAGUGAAGAAGGGUUUCGGCUCGUAAAGCUCUGUUGUUGGAGAAGAACGUGCGUGAGAGUAACUGUUCACGCAGUGACGGUAUCCAACCAGAAAGUCACGGCUAACUACGUGCCAGCAGCCGCGGUAAUACGUAGGUGGCAAGCGUUAUCCGGAUUUAUUGGGCGUAAAGCGAGCGCAGGCGGUUGCUUAGGUCUGAUGUGAAAGCCUUCGGCUUAACCGAAAGAAGUGCAUCGGAAACCGGGCGACUUGAGUGCAGAAGAGGACAGUGGAACUCCAUGUGUAGCGGUGGAAUGCGUAGAUAU